rnacentral:rRNA from 1 species
UAGAGUUUGAUCCUGGCUCAGAGUGAACGCUGGCGGCAGGCCUAACACAUGCAAGUCGAGCGGCAGCACGGGUAGCAAUACCUGGUGGCGAGCGGCGGACGGGUGAGGAAUACAUCGGAAUCUGCCUUGUCGUGGGGGAUAACGUAGGGAAACUUACGCUAAUACCGCAUACGACCGAGAGGUGAAGGCGGGGGAUCGAAAGACCUCGCGCGAUGAGAUGAGCCGAUGUCGGAUUAGCUAGUUGGCGGGGUAAAGGCCCACCAAGGCGACGAUCCGUAGCUGGUCUGAGAGGAUGAUCAGCCACACUGGAACGGAGACACGGUCCAGACUCCUACGGGAGGCAGCAGUGGGGAAUAUUGGACAAUGGGCGCAAGCCUGAUCCAGCCAUGCCGCGUGGGUGAAGAAGGCCUUCGGGUCGUAAAGCCCUUUUGUUGGGGACGAAAUCGUACGGGCGAAUAUCCCGUGCGGAUGACGGUACCCAAAGAAUAAGCACCGGCUAACUUCGUGCCAGCAGCCGCGGUAAUACGAAGGGUGCAAGCGUUACUCGGAAUUACUGGGCGUAAAGCGUGCGUAGGCGGUUUGUUAAGUCCGCUGUGAAAGCCCUGGGCUCAACCUGGGAAUUGCAGUGGAUACUGGCAAGCUAGAGUGCGGUAGAGGAUGGUGGAAUUCCCGGUGUAGCGGUGAAAUGCGUAGAGAUCGGGAGGAACACCCGUGGCGAAGGCGGGCAUCUGGACAGCACUGACGCUGAGGCACGAAAGCGUGGGGAGCAAACAGGAUUAGAUACCCUGGUAGUCCACGCCCUAAACGAUGCGAACUGGACGUUGGGUGGACU